CGUCACAUUGUGUUUAUAUCCUUUUCCAUUUAUAAUUUUAUACAAGCAUAAUUUUAUUGAGCGGGAAAAGCCAUUUUGCCGUUCAUACUUUUGAAAUUGUUGCAAAGGCGUAGCAGUAAGAAAAUAGUAUUAUGAACCAUAUUCUCACACAUUGCGAGAAUGACGCCUUUACAUCGUGAAUACUUACUUGUAUAUGGUCUUUGCCACUGGCUUUUCAGCCAACUUCUGAAAACCGUUACAACAAGUAUGCUGAAUGAAAAAUUACGGGUGUCUCAUUGAGAGGAGCUGACACAACCGCUGACUUCAUUGUGUCGCAGCAAACGGCGACUUAUGGUGUUCCAUUAGUGUAACACGGAGCCAGUGCGUGUGAUUCUCGUGGCAGCUGUCGGUUAUACCAUUUUGUCUUAUGCACAAACUCGUCGUAAAAAUGCCAGGUCUUUGUGUUUUCAUUUUUCGGUUUCGACACUAAAUUCUAUAACGUUCUCAAUUACACGUAACACGUUCUGUCUAAAUUUACUACACCUAAUGGUCGCCUAUACAAUAUGUGACAUAAUAAAAGGCAAAAUAAAUACAAGCUCGGAA